rnacentral:rRNA from 1 species
CGAUGAAGCCCUUCGGGGUGGAUUAGUGGCGAACGGGUGAGUAACACGUGGGCAAUCUGCCCUUCACUCUGGGACAAGCCCUGGAAACGGGGUCUAAUACCGGAUAAUACUCCUGCCUGCAUGGGUGGGGGUUAAAAGCUCCGGCGGUGAAGGAUGAGCCCGCGGCCUAUCAGCUUGUUGGUGGGGUAAUGGCCCACCAAGGCGACGACGGGUAGCCGGCCUGAGAGGGCGACCGGCCACACUGGGACUGAGACACGGCCCAGACUCCUACGGGAGGCAGCAGUGGGGAAUAUUGCACAAUGGGCGAAAGCCUGAUGCAGCGACGCCGCGUGAGGGAUGACGGCCUUCGGGUUGUAAACCUCUUUCAGCAGGGAAGAAGCGAAAGUGACGGUACCUGCAGAAGAAGCGCCGGCUAACUACGUGCCAGCAGCCGCGGUAAUACGUAGGGCGCAAGCGUUGUCCGGAAUUAUUGGGCGUAAAGAGCUCGUAGGCGGCUUGUCACGUCGGAUGUGAAAGCCCGAGGCUUAACCUCGGGUCUGCAUUCGAUACGGGCUAGCUAGAGUGUGGUAGGGGAGAUCGGAAUUCCUGGUGUAGCGGUGAAAUGCGCAGAUAUCAGGAGGAACACCGGUGGCGAAGGCGGAUCUCUGGGCCAUUACUGACGCUGAGGAGCGAAAGCGUGGGGAGCGAACA